CUCAGAUAACAUGCUUUCUUAGGAAGGAAGUGCUACCACAUUGGACAAACAGAGAUUUUACCCCUUUUGAACAGCUAUCUUAUCCUCUGAAACAACUAGCUAGUUUCUAAAUGAUAUUCUUUAUUUUAAGAGGGUCUCCCGGAUGUGGAGUUGUCCCCUUCCAAAAAUCUUGGGCAUCAGGGUUACUUAAUCAACUGACUGAAAAAGAUUGGUCAGAUAUUCUUCAGAAUGCUAUGCGUACAUCGAUAAGCCAGGGUGAAAGAGGAUCUUUUGACAAACAAGUCACUAGAGCAAGCAUGUCAAACUGAAAGGCUAAGACGGGCCAAAUAAACAAGGUUUACGUUUAUG